AACGAACGCUUGCGGCGCGCCUAAUACAUGCAAGUCGAACGAGAAAGUAGCUUCGGUUACGAGUACAGUGGCGGACGGGUGAGGAACACGUGGAUAACCUGCCCCUUUGCGGGGAAUAACUACUCGAAAGAGUAGCUAAUACCGCAUAAGACUACGAUUCCUGCGGGAGAUGUAGUUAAAGGCUUCGGCCACAAAGGGAUGGGUCCGCGUCCGAUUAGCUUGUUGGUGGGGUAAAGGCCUACCAAGGCUACGAUCGGUAGCUGGUCUCAGAGGAUGAUCAGCCACACUGGAACUGAGACACGGUCCAGACUCCUACGGGAGGCAGCAGUAGGGAAUAUUGCACAAUGGAGGAAACUCUGAUGCAGCGACGCCGCGUGAGUGAUGAAGGCCCUCGGGUUGUAAAACUCUGUGAUAUGGGAAGAUGAUGACGGUACCAUAUCAGAAAGGACCGGCUAACUUCG
rnacentral:rRNA from 1 species